ACAAUGGGCGAAAGCCUGAUGCAGCGACGCCGCGUGAGGGAUGACGGCCUUCGGGUUGUAAACCUCUUUCAGCAGGGAAGAAGCCACAAGUGACGGUACCUGCAGAAGAAGCGCCGGCUAACUAC
rnacentral:rRNA from 1 species